UUUACCCUGCCAUGUCCGUGUAAAGGCAACUAAGUCCUUGAACCGUAAGUAAUAAAUAAGGGGCCAAAGCUCGCGGGGUGGCCGACAUGCCGGUGGCCAUUGCGCCCGGCCGGAAGUCGAAAGCCUCGGAGCCAGCCCACAAGUUGCUGUGGUGUUCAAAGGAAAAGUUACCACACGGCAUAUCGGCGGGGUAAUU
rnacentral:other from 1 species